CCUACGGGAGGCAGCAGUGGGGGAUAUUGCACAAUGGGGGGAACCCUGAUGCAGCGACGCCGCGUGGGUGAAGAAGCGCCUCGGCGCGUAAAGCCCUGUCAGCAGGGAAGAAACUGACGGUACCUGAAGAAGAAGCCCCGGCUAACUACGUGCCAGCAGCCGCGGUAAUACGUAGGGGGCAAGCGUUAUCCGGAUUUACUGGGUGUAAAGGGGGCGCAGACGGCGAUGCAAGCCAGGAGUGAAAGCCGGGGGCCCAACCCCGGGACUGCUCUUGGAACUGCGUGGCUGGAGUGCAGGAGGGGCAGGCGGAAUUCCUGGUGUAGCGGUGAAAUGCGUAGAUAUCAGGAGGAACACCGGUGGCGAAGGCGGCCUGCUGGACUGCAACUGACGUUGAGGCCCGAAAGCGUGGGGAGCAAACAGGAUUAGAUACCCGGGUAGUC
rnacentral:rRNA from 1 species